rnacentral:rRNA from 1 species
GACGAACGCUGGCGGCGUGCCUAAUACAUGCAAGUGGGACGCAAGGACACACACUGUGCUUGCACACCGUGUUUUCUUGAGUCGCGAACGGGUGAGUAACGCGUAGGUAACCUGCCUAUUAGCGGGGGAUAACUAUUGGAAACGAUAGCUAAUACCGCAUAAUAUUAAUUAUUGCAUGAUAAUUGAUUGAAAGAUGCAAGCGCAUCACUAGUAGAUGGACCUGCGUUGUAUUAGCUAGUUGGUAAGGUAAGAGCUUACCAAGGCGACGAUACAUAGCCGACCGGAGAGGGUGAUCGGCCACACUGGGACUGAGACACGGCCCAGACUUCUACGGGAGGCAGCAGUAGGGAAUCUUCGGCAAUGGACGAAAGUCUGACCGAGCAACGCCGCGGGAGUGAAGAAGGUUUUCGGAUCGGAAAGCUCUGUUGUAAGUCAAGAACGUGUGUGAGGGUGGAAAGUUCACACAGUGACGGUAGCUUACCAGAAAGGGACGGCUAACUACGUG